AUGGGGCGGGGGAAGACGCAGAUGAAGCUGAUAGAGGACCGGACGAGCCGGCGGGUGGCCUUCUCCAAGCGCCGCAGCGGCUUGCACAGGAAGGCUUUCCAGCUCUCCGUGCUCUGCGAUGCCGAGGUCACCCUCAUCGUCUUCUCCCCAGGCGGCAGGCUCUACGAGUUUGCCAACGCCGGCAUGCAGAAUACAAUUGGACGUUAUAAUGAGACAAACACAAAGGAUAGUACUAGCAACCAGGUACAUCAAGAUAUAGAGAAAAUAAAAGCUGAUGCAGAGGCCUUGUCAAAGAAGCUCGAUGCUCUUGAAGCAUACAAAAGGAAAAUUUUGGGUUCUAAUUUAGAAGAAUGCUCUAUUGAAGAACUGCAAAGCAUAGAGGACAGAACUGAAAAAAAGCCUUCUUAUACCAGUGCAAGCUUAAUGCUACUCAAUUAUCUUACAUGUCAGGCUCGGCGGUUGGAAGAGCAGCUCGCUAAGCUGAGGCAGAAUGUGGUGAAGUUGAGCCACCACAAACAAGAACUAUAUUUCCAGGUAAAGAUGGACAAUGAAAUUGCCUUCAAGAAUGAAACAACCCAACUCUGA
rnacentral:rRNA from 1 species